UGGCAACACUGCUAGCCAGUAGCCACAUUGCAACAUGGCAGACUCCCAGCAAGUCACUUCUUCUCAGGUGAUACAGCGACAGAAUAUUCCAAGGACCUCUAGAGCCUUCUGACCAACUACCUGCGAUCUCUCCAGAGCACAGAGAAGUGAGUCUGCUGGGCCAUGGAACUCUAGAGCAGCACAUCAAAAUACAUGCCACCCUGUUGUCAGCUGUCAGCAGGCCGUUCCCUGAGGAAGGAUACAAUGGUCAAUGGCCGAAUUUGGGGGAUGACUAAAUGCCAUAAAGCUGUGUCUAAAC